rnacentral:rRNA from 1 species
GAUGAACGCUGGCGGCGUGCCUAAUACAUGCAAGUCGAGCGAACAGACGAGGAGCUUGCUCCUCUGACGUUAGCGGCGGACGGGUGAGUAACACGUGGAUAACCUACCUAUAAGACUGGGAUAACUUCGGGAAACCGGAGCUAAUACCGGAUAAUAUAUUGAACCGCAUGGUUCAAUAGUGAAAGACGGUUUUGCUGUCACUUAUAGAUGGAUCCGCGCCGCAUUAGCUAGUUGGUAAGGUAACGGCUUACCAAGGCGACGAUGCGUAGCCGACCUGAGAGGGGGGGCGGCCACACGGGAACUGAGACCCGUCCAAGACCCCGACGGGAGGAGCAAGGGGGGAAUCUCCAGCAAGGGGGAAAAGCCUGAGGGAGCAACCCGGGGUGAGGGAGAAGGGUUUUGGGAUCAAAAAACUUUUUUAUUAGGGAAAAAAAAAUUGUAAAUAAACAUUGCACGUCUGGACGGUACCUAAUAAAAAACCCCCGCCAAACUACGUG